UACGGAGGAUCCAAGCGUUAUCCGGAUUUAUUGGGUUUAAAGGGUGCGUAGGUGGUUCUUUAAGUCAGGGGUGAAAGACGGCAGCUUAACUGUCGCAGUGCCUUUGAUACUGAUAGGCUUGAAUGUACUUGAGGUAGGCGGAAUGUGACAAGUAGCGGUGAAAUGCAUAGAUAUGUCACAGAACACCAAUUGCGAAGGCAGCUUACUAUGGUUAAAUUGACACUGAGGCACGAAAGCGUGGGGAUCAAACAGG
rnacentral:rRNA from 1 species